rnacentral:rRNA from 1 species
UACGAGGGGGGCAAGCGGUUGUUCGGAAUUAUUGGGCGUAAAGGGCGCGUAGGCGGUUUGACAAGUCUGAUGUGAAAUCUAUGGGCUCAACCCAUAGCCUGCAUUAGAAACUGUCGGGCUUGAGUAUGGGAGAGGUGAGUGGAAUUUCCGGUGUAGCGGUGAAAUGCGUAGAUAUCGGAAGGAACACCUGUGGCGAAAGCGGCUCACUGGACCAUAACUGACGCUGAGGCGCGAAAGCUAGGGGAGCAAACAGG